GUACUGUCAAUGCAUUGGUACUGUACAGUUGUUUCUUUAUUCUGUGACUGUACCAAGUAGUUACCGAACAAACAUUACCAUUUUGCAAAUAACGCAGCAACUGGAUUUGGCCCCACAGCGCUCACCGGUGGGCUGCUGCCAUCUAGUCUGCCUCUAUGUCUAUGCUGCCGCCACCACACAUGACCACACUCGCGCUCGCGCACGAUGAGCGAGGAUUUCGUAUCGAGGACGCUGCGGAAGUCGUGCCCGUGCUCUUGAGCUUCGACGGCGUUAGGUUGCGUCAGCGGGGAUUUCAGGAGCGCAAGUUGCAGGCAGCAAACAAGAUUUUGGCGCAGUUUUGAUCUCACGACAGCGAGCGACAACUGUGCUGCCCGGAUAUGCGACGCCGACCGUGCAGAUUUAAGCUUCCGUUAGCGUACCAAACGGUGGGAAUCGCAGAUUCGUUCCAUUUCCAGCGAACGUAUUCACCAGUGUGACUGGCUACUAAGCCGUGAUGCAGGUACUUGUGUGCGUCAUUAAUCAAGCCGUGCCGCGUCCGUGAGCCUCAGAAGCGAACCCGCCAGGAAACAACCCAUUUCGACACUAGUUCUGUGCGAAUCCGAAGGUGUUGUAAUCUUUUGCUGCCGUCCUGGCGUGUCUCGGUGAAGUGUAGGUACGCAGAGUGCAACUUCAAUGCAGCAUCUGGCCGUUGUUGAAGCUUUGAGAAAGGAAGUGUUGCUAUGUCCGCGAUGACUUGACCACGGCGUGCCGUUGUAACCUGAAACCUCACCUCUAACAACACUCGCACUCGACGUGCCAGACUCAUCACUUGUGCUUCUCAAGAUGCGCGUGUGUUUUGUUCCCAACUGCAAUAGUAGCUACAACUAUAGGUAUUGCAAAGAAAAAGUAACAAUCUUCAGCGUGCCGAGAGAUCCACGGCGCUUUCAAGAGUGGGCUGAGGCAAUUCCCGGAACGCAGCGGCCGCUGACAUCAAGAGAUUACGUGUGCGAAAAACAUUUUGCAAGCCACAUGAUGAUGCUGUGCCCUGCAUUUUUCCUGCUCCUUCUCAGAAUUUUGCAGAAAAUGUCAGCGGUGCCGACAAGAUUGUCACGCAAGAGGCACGUAAUUGCGGUGCAGAAAAGAAACGUAUGUCUCACAAUGUUUCGCCUUGCAGUAACAAUAACAGAGCCAAACGAGUGAGGCUGGAAGCUCUGUGCCAUGAGCCAGUGCCAUCAGUGGUGCGGAAGAGGAGUGUUGCUGCAGAAAAGUCAGAUAGUGAAGGUGUGUCUGCAGCAAACACCAGUAGUGCUAAAAGGAUCCUUGAGGAAGAUGCAAACUAUCUGGCUGAUGCUGUGAAAAGCACCAAAUGCUGUAGCAUCUUGAUCAAAGAAGAGGUUGAUUUCGCAAGCUGCAGCAAUGAUGCCAGCAGCAUUUUCAAAAAAGUAAGCGAUGAGUGUGUUAAUUUUGCAGAAUAUUUAAGUGAUUCCAACAACACUGUCACGCAAGAGACACGUAAUUGCUGUGGAGAGAACAGAAUUUUUUCAAACAUCAGUGUCAAAGAAGAGGCAGGUAAUCAAGCCGACUUUGCAGAAGACUUCGGAAGAGCUGAUAAUAUUGUCACAGAAGAGACACAUCAUCUGGUUGAUUUUGUAGUGAGCACCAGCUUUAGUAGCAUUGUUGUCAAAGAAGAUACACAAGAUAAGGCUGGAUGUUGGGGGGAUGCCAGAAAUGUCAUUGCUUUUGAAAAGGCGGGCAGCCAGGUUGGUUUCUCAAAGGAUCUAAUGGACGUCGAUGCUUUUAGUAAAGAAGUAACCAGCCAAGAUGGUCUUGCAGGGAACACUGACUAUGCAAACAUAAUCAUCAAAGAAGAGGUAGGCAGCCAAGUUGAUUUCUCAAAGGAUGCUCCAGACAUGAUUUUAGUGAAGAGUCAACUAUUCAAGAUGGUUUCACAGAGAACACCAGCAAUGCAAACGCAGUUAUGAAAGUCAACCAGGCUGGUUUCUCGGAGGAUGCACUGGACAUGAGGGCUUUUAGUGAGGAAGCAGCCAUUCAAGAUGGUUUGGUAGAGAACACUGAUUAUGCAAACACAAUUGUGAAUGUAGUGACAUUAAACCACGAUUUGUUAGAGGAUGUAUGGGAUACUAACCCUUAUGGCAAAGAGGCAACCAAUUGAGAUGGUUUUGCAGGGACCAUCGGCUAUGCAGUUCUAAUUUAUUAAAGAAGCAGGAAAUCAGGUUGGCUUAUUCAGAGGCUGCUCCUACCAUUAAUGCUGUCAGUCAAGAGGUAGUCAUUCAAUAGAGUUUUGAAGGGAACGGCGGCUAUGUGAAUGUAAUUAUCAAAGAAGAGACGGACAACCAGGUUGCUUUCACAGGGCACAGCAGUAGUUACAGCAGCGUCUUCACAGCUGAUCAGGUUCAUUCAGGUACUUGUGAUGACAAGUUUCCGAGCACCAGCUGCCUCUCAAUAGGAAGGGAAAAUAAUGGUGAUGGGUGAGGUAGAUGAUAAUGCAUGAUAAUGAGUGCACAUUUGAGGAGAAAUGUCUGCAACUUAUUGGCAUGUCUCGAAGCUGAAUUGUUGCCUCUUGUGUAAACAGUGGGCAUAGUUGUGAGCCACUUGGCAUGCUGCAAGCUAUUAUUUUGCUCUGCGAAAGUGCUGCCAUGUACAAUGCUGUUUGUGAUGUAGUUUGCAAGUGUGGGCUGAGCUUCGUAUUAGUGGAAAACUUAAUGCAACUAUGGAAUCGUACAAGUUCCCCAUUAUGACAUAGAGCAAUGAGUGCAUUUCUUCAGCAUGCUGCACACAUUCCUAUGCAUCGCAUUUGAAAAUGGUUACUGUACUGAUGUACAACUCUCUGUGGCAAUGAAGGGAAAUCUAUGGGGGCGGAGCUUCUGCACAUGUGUUCCCGCGGCACGUAGUCUGGCAGCAUUUUUGUUUUCUAGAAACAGACGCUGGGAAUCUAUGCAGCUCUCGUAUGCGACGGUUUUGCAAUUGUCCAUAUGUGGAAGAGAAAAGACGCAAAAUUAACUUCAGCAUUCGGUGGUGUAUCUUGUCUUAUUUUGCUGUUGUUAAUGAGCUGUAUAUAUUUUCUCUUCAGCUUAAACUAACUCGGAUGUAAAUGUGGGACUCUUUUCAAGAGCACGCUCUCUUGUGCAUGCUUUGCCUCGGUAGCUUUCCCUUCAUUGCUGCAUAAACUUGUGGGCGAGUAUAAGUAGUGUUUUCUGAAAACUGAAAGGAGGGCAACCUAAAUGUUCCUGCUCAACAACGGUUUACAAGGGCUGCCCUAAAAUGACGAGCCACUGCGUAUUUCCAUCGAUCAUAGGCCCUUAUGCAGGUUAAACUCGUAGCAUGAAUUCCAGCUGUUGCAAGGUUUUAGAACAAUGAACUAAGGUGCUUACCAAGGAGUAUUCAGUCAGUGCAGCACCAUAUGGACGACUUCACACAGUCACAUGGCAGCAUUAAAACAGACGACAAAGCCAGGAAAGCACUGGCAUCUUUGUAUCAGAAGCGUCAAAUAAAUGGGAGCCCGAGCUUACCCUAUGGAUGAUCCUCGAGGAUGUACCUCUACGUUAUAUGGCAGGAAGCCCUCAGGUACUGAUUAUACUAUCGGAUGUAGCAACCCAUCUAAGCAUGUCAUUGAUUAUGGUUGUGAUGGGGAGUACUUUGCUAAACCAUGACAAUUUCAUAAUGAGGAAAUCUCAGUUGCAGUGUGUUCCUUCACUGAAAGCACAGUGAUUUUAAUCAUAUUUAGAUCUCCUUUUUGUCUAUUUACGGUUGCUGGGCCAUCACUAGUUUCUAGGGAUGAUUGCUAAAUUGGAAUGUCUCACAAUAUGUGCAACAUGUUCAUCCUCAUCAUACAAUUUCACUGUCUUGUACAAAUGCCAUUCAUAAUUAAAACUGUUAACAAGAAAAA